rnacentral:rRNA from 1 species
CAUCAAUCCAAGACCCUGAGCUUGUUCCUCAAGUUGUACAUAUCCAAGGCCUUCCACUCUGUGAACUUGGCCUUUCUCCUGGAGGCUCUAGACCAUUUGGGCUUCGGUCAACACUGGCACGACUGGACUUGCAUGUCGCUUAGCUCCUCAACAUCGUGUGUCCUCCUCAACGGUUUCUCUGCCCCUUCCUUUUCUCACAGGCGAGGCCUUCGGCAAGGGGAUCCACUUUUGCCUAUGUUAUUCAUCAUGGCCAUCGACUCCUUCACCACAUGA